rnacentral:lncRNA from 1 species
GUUUUAAAGGACACCUUGGAAAAAAGGGGAGUGUUAAGACAUUUAAAAGCAAGGAUCCGUGCUGAAGUUUUCAAUGCUCUGGAUGAUGAUCGUGAACCCCGACCAUUGUUGUCUCAUGAGAACCUUCUAAUUAAUGAAUUAAUUAGGGAGUAUUUGGAAUUCAACAAAUAUAAAUACACAGCCUCUGUCCUCAUAGCAGAAUCUGGUCAACCUGUAGUUCCAUUGGACAGACAGUUUCUCAUCCGUGAACUAAAUGCCUUUGAAGAAUCAAAGGAUAACUCAAUUCCUCUGUUAUAUGGAAUUUUAGCCCAUUUCUUGCGUGGUCCUCCAGACGGAGCCCAGAAUGUGCUUCUGACAGAAUCAACACUGCACCCUGCAAACAAGCAUGUCAGCUGGAAGCCCAGCAGAAGACCAGAUGGUAGGAGCUUUUACUACUUCUCCUUUAACUUCUUUGAGUUUGUUCUCUGGAGCUUGUCUAGUUCAGCAUUAGCCUGUACUAUUUAACUCCAGAAAGCCAGUGCUUUGGAGAAAGAAAAUUUCGACAAUUUUUUUUUUUUCGGAGCUGGGGACCGAACCCAGGGCCUUGCGCUUCCUAGGCAAGCACUCUGCCACUGAGCUAAAUCCCCAGCCCCUAAAAAUUUCGACAAUUUUAAAGCCAGGUCUGAAAGACACCUCAUUUCCACAUGAGCCUAGUCUCUGGAGCAGCCUGGUUCAGCACACUGUAUAGUUUUCUUUGAAAUGAAGACGUCACUUGCCCCCUCCUCCCAACCCCCUUUCCUCCCAUCUUUCCCAGACUGAAAAAUACAAGAUUUCUACUGUACAGAGAAGCC